rnacentral:misc_RNA from 1 species
CUUGGAUUCACUAUCAAUUGAUCACGCAGGGAAAGACGUACAUUUUCAAUCUUGAACAAUUAUAAUGGAUAACACGAAUACAGGCCAUGUCCCGCUACAAUUAGAAACUUGGGUAAAUUGAUAUUUAUUUUAUCAUAUGAGAACAAGUGAUCCCAGCAUAUGAAAAACGAGACUCCAAUCUGUAGGGUCACAUUAGGGGCAAGAGACCCACGCAUGAUGACUGAUUCGAGGGGAGAGGGAGAUUUUACCAAUUCAGGAUUCGCAAAGUGUGUUUCGCACUCAAAACCUGAAGUUAGAAUGAUCCAUCUCAUCAUCAUUAACGUAAUCAAAUCGUCAAUCAAUACCUUCCCUUGUCAAAAAUCACAAUCACAAUAAAAUAAACUAAAUAGAAGACAUGUCACCCACCAAUCCCAUUCCCAAUUACACAAGUGACAAGUGUGAGCCUGCCUAGGCUUGGAGCUUGUCUAGGCACCCCAUCAACCUUCUAGCCUUUUUCCACAUUUAAUACACAUUUGAUCAUAACAUCUUAUUUCAGACACUACAUCUGAUCGCCAUAACCACAAACACUUCGAUUGCUCCUCCAUCAACAACCCAUAUUCACCCUCAUUCCCUUGGUUUGAAUAUCCGGCUAAUAUGGAUGAUGAGGCAGCAUCAGCCAAUGCCAAGGUGAGGAAGAUGAACCACCGGAGAGCUGCCACUGUACAUACAAUAACAUUGCAGAUUACUGGCUCUCUGGUUACCAUGGUGAUGCUGUUAUGGGCAAUUCGUAGUGGGUUCAAACUUGCUAUAAAUUCAAGCAGAUAUACAGGCUGUACAGACUGGGCUUUUCACAUUGGCGUUCUAACUAUGCUCCUCGGUUUCUUGUUUCUGAUACUUGGGAUUCCUAUACUAGCUGACUUAUUUCUAAAUUUGUCACAAUAAUUGCAGGAGGCGGAAGCCAGAAUUCAUAAAGGUAGCAAUAUAGAUACUAAAGUCUAAAAGUCUUGUUUUGUAAGUUCUUUUGGGAUUGUUUUGAUGGUUUUUUGCUUCAAUGUGAUUGCUUUUCCUCUAGUUCUUGUCCUAUAGGUUUCUUUGCAACUGAAUUAGUAGGAUAGAAAGACCAGUCUCUAAGAUUUUCCAUUCAAUAACUUUCUCAUGUUUCAUUUGGUUAACAGACUCAGUGUAAUUGAGAACAAAUAAAAUAAUUAUUCCAUGGGCUAUGAAAUGACUAUUUUUAACUUAUUCUAUUAUCAUACCAUUCCAUGUUAUUGCAUAAACUAAGGAAAGCAUAAAGGUUAUAGAACCUGAUCUACUUAAAAAGGAGAUGUAUAGUUGAUAUAAACUAGCAAUGAAUGUUAUGAUGCAAAAAUGCCUAAACCAACAAAAAUUGCUGUGAAAUUAUACAUGGAAUACAAGAAGUAUUCUCUCCAUAAUAUUGCCAUAAUCAACUUAUGAAGCCAAGAAUUUCUGUUUUAAAUUCUACAUUAAUUUUCAUUACCAGCACAUUCAUCUAUGCUCAAAGCAAAUCAUAAAUUUUCAAACUUACAAUCUCACUAGUAUGGAUGGCUUGGCAGCAUGGGAGACAAACAAUUUCUGAAGUUAUUGUUGGAAUCUUUGCCACUCUGAUCAUAAUGAUCAUGCUCUGGUGGACCAUUUACACAGGAUUUAGGCUUGCAACUGAGCAUAGAAGACACAGCAAAUAUCAUCUCUUCACAUCUUCAAUUAGUGCGGUCACAAUUAUCUCUGGUUUGGUUUAUGGGUAAAUUAUUUUUUUUUUCCUGUGUUAUGUCA